rnacentral:rRNA from 1 species
GAUGAACGCUGGCGGCGUGCCUAAUACAUGCAAGUCGAGCGAACAGACGAGGAGCUUGCUUCUCUGAAGUUAGCGGCGGACGGGUGAGUAACACGUGGAUAACCUACCUAUAAGACUGGGAUAACUUCGGGAAACCGGAGCUCAUACCGGAUAAUAUAUUGAACCGCAUGGUUCAAUAGUGAAAGACGGUUUUGCUGUCACUUAUAGAUGGAUCCGCGCCGCAUUAGCUAGUUGGUAAGGUAACGGCUUACCAAGGCAACGAUGCGUAGCCGACCUGAGAGGGUGAUCGGCCACACUGGAACUGAGACACGGUCCAGACUCCUACGGGAGGCAGCAGUAGGGAAUCUUCCGCAAUGGGCGAAAGCCUGACGGAGCAACGCCGCGUGAGUGAUGAAGGUCUUCGGAUCGUAAAACUCUGUUAUUAGGGAAGAACAGAUGUGUGAGUAACUGUGCAUGUCUUGACGGUACCUAAUCAGAAAGCCACGGCUAACUACGUG